rnacentral:pre_miRNA from 1 species
AGCAAAGAAGUUUGUUGCCUUCCAGGAAGUGUGUAUUGCUCUAAUGUAAUUAAGUUGACAUGAAUUUCCCUGGUAGGCA